rnacentral:SRP_RNA from 1 species
GCUGAGCGUGGUGGUGCAUGCCUGUAGUCCCAGCUACUUGGGAGGCUGAGGUGGGAGGAUCGCUUGAGCCCAGGAGGUUAAGGCUGCAGUGAGCCAUGACUGUGCCACUGCACUCCAGCUUGGGCAACAAAGUGAGACCCUGUCUUUU